GGCCACUUUAUUCGAGGUCUUGUCAAUUAGUUUAUUUUAUCCUAUGGGAAAUAGAUAGAUUUCGAAGAAUCUUAGCAGAGGUGUGAACAAAUAUAUUUGCGUUUGGGAAAGAUCAUUGCUUGCAACGGGGAGAAUGGAUAAGAGGGGAUGAAAUUGGAGCAAGAAUAAUUGGAAAGAUUUUAUCCAACUAAGAGACUAUAGUGGUCUGUCCUAGCAAGGGGGCGUGUAGAUGGGAAAAAAGUUUAUCGGAAAUGGGUGCGAAGCUGAGGGAGGAAUCCAAGAUAUUUCCCAGGGUUCUGAUUUUAAUAACUGGAGAAUAAUGAUGCCAUUUGAAAUAGAAUUUGGGGGGGGGGUCAUGAGUUUUAGGUGCCUGUGGGAAAUCCAUUGGACAAUGGAACACUAGAUAAUGUGGGUGGGAACCCAAAAGGAACGUGGGGAGUGGGGGGUGCGCCCCAGCAUGUGAAUAUAGAAGGUUGUUGAAGUCAUGGAAGUGGAUAAGAUGGCCUAGAAAGAAGAAUAGCUGCAUUUAAGAGAUGAGAUAAGGGAAAGGAGCCGAAAAGACUGAGAAGGAACAAAUAGAAGAGAAAGAAGAAACCAGGAGCAAAGUAUCAAGGAAACUGGUCAGUGUUAAACAUAACAGAUCAGGUAAGACGUGGACUAAAAUGUGUCCAUUGGAUUUUGCAACAACUAAGUCACUUAGUAAUUUUGGAGAAAGCUGUUUCAGAGAUGCGGUGGGGUAAAAACAAGAUUGAGGUAAACUGAGUAAUUGGAAAGGCACAAUGUAUAACACAUUUUUCCAGGUGUUGACUGUAAAAAGAGGCUAGCAGUAGGAUAUAGCAUGAGAGGGAAUUCCAAAGAAAGGGAGUUUUAGUUACCUGUGGGAUAGCCAGAUGGAGAUGUCUAAAUGGAAUAUACAAAUCUAAAACAGGAGAAAAUUAAGUGGAAAAAGGCAAGUAUAGAAGAAUGCAAAUGGCAUAUUUUCACAAACAUUAAAAAAUUAAUCUUGAAGAGUGGGCCUGGGAGGGAUGAAACAUACUUUUUAUUUUAAAUCCAUCUUUACUGUUUGAAUUUGUUUUACUGGGUACAUAAGUUAUUUUUUUCCAGCUUUAUUGAGAUGUAAUUGACAUAUAACAUUGUGUGAGCUUAAGGUGUACAAUGUGUUUUGAUAUACAUAUGUAUCACAAAAUAACUGUUACAAUAAGCUAACACAUCAGUUACCUCACGUGGUUACCAUUGUGUGUGUGUACAUUUAUUACUUUUAUAGAAUACUACCUUUUUUUUUCUCUCCUUUUUAGGGCUGCACCUUUGGCUUAUGGAAGUUCCCAGCCUAGAAGUUGAAUCAGCGCUACCAGCCACAGCCACAGGGGUUAAGGAUCUGGCAUUGCUGUGAGCUGUGGUGUAGGUCGCAGAUGCGGCUCGGAUCCCAUGUUGCUGUGGCCCUGGUGUAGGCCAGCAGCUACAGCUCCAAUUAGAUCCCUAGCUUGGGAACCUCCAUAUGCCAAGGGAGGCAGCCCUAGAAAAGGCAAAAAGACAAAAAAAAAAAAAAAGAGAAAGUAUGACUGAGUCACUUUGCUGUACAGCAGAAAUUGGCACAACAUUGUAAAUCAACUAUACUUUAGUAAAAGGAAAACGAAAACUUUUUAAAAACUCCAGUUAUAUAUGGGCCAGAAAUUCUGAAUAAUGACCAUUUCAGUGGUAGUUGAAGCUGUAGAUUUGGAUAAGUUCCCAGAGAACAGAGGGCUAAGAGUGCCUUGGUGAAUUCUAACAUUUAAGUCACAAGUAGAAGAGCCAUUGGGAAUCCUUGAAAAGGAACAGCCAUUGAGGAGGAAAAAAACACUAAGGAGGAGUUCCUGUCGUGGCUCAGUGGUUAACAAAUCCAAUGAGGAACCAUGAGGUUGCGGAUUUGAUCCCUGGCCUCGCUCAGUGGAUUAAGGAUCCAGCAUUGCCAUGAGCUGUGAUGUAGGUUACAGACAAGGCUUGGCUCCUGCAUUGCUGUGGCUUUGGUGUAGGCGGGGGGCUGCUGCUCUGAUUCGACCCUUAGCCUGGGAACCUCCAUAUGCCGCGGGAGCGGACCAAGAAAUGGCAAAAAGACAAAAAACAAAAACAAACAAAAAAAAACCACUAAGGAGUUCCCACUGUGGUGCAAUGGGAUUAGCAGGGUGUCUGCAGCACCACGAUGCAGGUUUGAUCCUCGGCCUGGCACAGCGGGUUAAGGGAUACUCUGUGGCAUAAGUUGCAACUGUGGCUUGGAUCUGAUCCCUGGCCCAGGAACUCCAUAUGCCAUGGGGCAGCCAAAAAAUAGAGGAAAGAAAAACAAUGUGGUGUUCCCGUUGUGGCUCAUUGAGCUAAGAAUCAGACAUAGUGUCCAUGAGGAUGUGGGUUCAAUCCCUAGCUUCACUCAGUGGGUUAAGGAUCUGGCAUUGCUGCAAAGUUCCAGUGCAGGUCGAAGAUCCUGUGUUGCUAUGGCUGUGAUGUAGCCGUGCAGCUGCAGCUCCAGUUCAACCCCUAGCCUGGGAACUUCCGUAUGCCACAGGUGCAGCCAUUAAAAACAAAAAACAAGCAAAACAACAACAAUGAAAAAAACCCCAAACACCUGGAUGAUAAUUGUCAUGGAGUCAAAGGGAAGAGAGUAUUUCAAGAGGAUAGACAUUAUUAAAACUGUCAGAUGUCUCCAGAGAGGCAGCUAAGGAAAGGUUAAAAGCUCCAGACCCAGGUUUCCUGGAAACUUGGCAUAAAGGUCAAAUCCAGGUCUUGAACCAUCCCACAGGUAUCAUAUGGAAUUCAGCCCCCCGUGCCAUUCCAUCCUUACAUGUCAUGACUACCAGUCCCCGACUUUCAGUGGGUCUUGCAGUCAACACCAGCCAGUUUUGGCACCACUUAGUUUCCACACUCAAGAAUGCUAUCUUUCCCAUUCAUUGUUAUGGCCCUUAAGCUGCCAUCAAGAAAAACUUGUUUUGGAGUUCUCAUCAUGCCUGGGUCAGUGGUUAGCAAACCCGACGAGCAUCCAUGAGGACUUGGGUUCAAUCCCUGGCCUCGCUCAGUGGGUUAAGGAUCCUGCAUUGCUGUGAGCUGUGGUGUAGGUCACAGAUGUGGCUCUGACCCUCUGUUGCUGUGGCUAUGGUGUAGGCCGGCGGCUACAGCUCAUAUUGGACUCCUAGCCUGGGAUCCUCCAUACGCUGAGGUUGGGCCC
rnacentral:lncRNA from 1 species